GACCUUACUACGCAGACUAUGAAGUCAGGGGUGCAUUUCAGAGUUGCCAAUAAGCUCAUCGUGAUUUUUGAGACAUUAUCUACAAGGAACAACUCUUAUUUUUGCUCUAGCAAAAGUUUGCAACAGGCCCAUUACAUGAACAAAAAAGUUAUCGUGUAAAUGGUCCAUCGUUACAUACAAUGAAUAGAUAAUGAAUGAGAAUAAAAGUGAAAACUUCUAUUUGGUACACACAGCUAAAAAAUUACAGCGUAGAGCUUUUUAUUGACCCCUGCCACUGUAGUCCUGAUCGUUCAUCAAAUUUUUACAUCUUUUUAUGUGUGUUCUAGAGUGGGGAAGGGGACGCAAACGACGUUUGGAUCAUAUUAGCCGAAGGAGGUAAGAGGGCGAUGUUAUAACCACCGUUAACGAGCAAGCUCCUUUUUAUUCAUUACUUGCAGCGUUGUAUGCUGACUACAACAGGAAAACAACUGCCUGCUUGUUCCAAACGUUAGUUUUGAGGUGUACGCGCCUAGUUUUCUUUGAAAGGUUUUUGGAGUCCCACGCUGUUAUGCUACAAGCCAAUGCAGGUCUUAAGCCCAAAGAAGGGGAAACCACAUCACAACCAUGGCAGUGGCCGAUUAAUUAUAAGGGUCAAUUCCUUCUCUGGAAGCAAUUACAGAGUUUAUCUUCUCGGAACCCCCAUUAUUUGGUGGGCCAAUUUGGUCUGUCUUGCAGUUUUUGCAGUCAUUUUUUAUUAAUUCAGUGCGUUCUCAGAGAGGAAUCAAGAUCCACCACAUAUUCAAGGUAAUUUUUCCUUAGAGUCAAAAAAAAAUAAUACUGGGU
rnacentral:lncRNA from 1 species